rnacentral:tRNA from 1 species
GCCUCCUUAUCCCAACUGGCAGAGGAAACAUGUUUAGACCAUGUUAAUGUACUGGUUCGAAUCCAGCAGGAGGUACCA